AGGACGAACGCUGGCGGCGUGCUUAACACAUGCAAGUCGAGCGGUAAGGCCCUUUCGGGGGUACACGAGCGGCGAACGGGUGAGUAACACGUGGGUGACCUGCCUUUAGCUUCGGGAUAAGCCCGGGAAACUGGGUCUAAUACCGGAUAUGACCUUCUCCUCGCAUGGGGGUUGGUGGAAAGUUUUUCGGCUAGAGAUGGGCCCGCGGCCUAUCAGCUUGUUGGUGGGGUGAUGGCCUACCAAGGCGACGACGGGUAGCCGGCCUGAGAGGGCGACCGGCCACACUGGGACUGAGAUACGGCCCAGACUCCUACGGGAGGCAGCAGUGGGGAAUAUUGCGCAAUGGGCGGAAGCCUGACGCAGCGACGCCGCGUGGGGGAUGACGGCCUCGGGUUGUAACCUCUUUCGACCGGGACGAAGCGAGAGUGACGGUACCGGUAGAAGAAGCACCGGCCAACUACGUGCCAGCAGCCGC
rnacentral:rRNA from 1 species